GUAGGGUGCGAGCGUUAUCCGGAAUCAUUGGGCGUAAAGAGCUCGUAGGCGGUUCAGCAAGUCGGCUGUGAAAUUCCGAGGCUCAACCUCGGAACUGCAGUCGAUACUGUUGUGACUCGAGUCCGGUAGAGGAGAAUGGAAUUCCCGGUGUAGCGGUGAAAUGCGCAGAUAUCGGGAGGAACACCAGUAGCGAAGGCGGUCCUCUGGGCCGGCACUGACGCUGAGGAGCGAAAGCGUGGGGUAGCAAACAGGAUUAGAUACCCUGGUAGUCCACGCCGUAAACGUUGGAUACUAGGUGUGGGGUUCCGACCCAACGGUCCCCCCCCGUGCCGAAGCUAACGCAUUAAGUAUCCCCGCCUGGGGAGUACGGCCCGCAAAGGCUAA
rnacentral:rRNA from 1 species